GCUCGAAUAUUAUUGGUGCUCUUUGCUCUCAACGUGAGGGCGGGGGGAGAGCGCGAGAGCAGAGGGAGUAGGCGGGGCCGUCGUGACUGCGCAUGUCAGCGGGACUGCUCUUUAAGCGUCGCCUUUGGCGAGUGAAGCCUUUGGACUUUCAGGGAGGGAGUAUGGGUGUCAUUUAGAGGUGCCUCCAUCCCCUUCCUCAUAGUGGAGGCGAAACAGGAAUAGAGAGUGGUGCUGUGAUGCCCCAUGGGCCUUGGAGUUCUGACCCCAGCGCCAUCAUGGAUCAUGAUGAUGAAAACAUGGGUUUUUUGCCGUCUCAGCAAGAGACAGAGCCGUCCCAGAUGCCUGUUGUGGACAAUUCUUGCCAAGAACUCAUUAAAACAGACCUUGAACCAGUUCUUCCCAGCGCUUCUCCCCCCUUUGCGAGAAGGGAGUUCUAUCAGGCGAGCCGUUUCCAAAGAGAACAAACAAGGAGAAGUAUGAGAUUAGCAGCCAGACAGGUCGUUAAUUAGCUAGUUUCUCUUGGGAGCUUUCAGGGAGGAACGCAUCUGGAUGAAGAGGUAUUUCGCUUCUUUUUCCCUUGGGAAAGGAAGCUCUGGACACCUGCUCUGCAGGAAGAUUAAAGUUCUUUAUAAGUUCCCCGCACUGGUGAAGCCGUUGCGGAGUCAACAGAUCAGCUUAAGGAUUAACUUCGGUUCCAGCCAAGUGUGGACUGCGUUUGAGCCUGCAACCUCCAGUUCCUUCGUGCCUUGCCUUGCCGUGUUUCAUGACCUAUCUCAUCGUGUUUUCCAGCCUUGCAUCUUGUGCCAAGUAUCCAGUCUUGUCUCCAACUCCCUGCCUUGGACUUAUGUUAAAAUUCAGUAAAACUUCUGGACGUUUUUUCCCCACUCUAACUGCUUGGAAGUGGAGUGUGUUUCGGUUCUGGGAUUACAACUUUGAACUCUAAUAUAAUAUACUGGACAAUAUAUUUCUGGACUAUAUUUGACCUUCCCUGAAAAGUCUAUUGCUGGACUACAUUUUCUACUUGUUUUUAUCCUACUAUAAUAUUUCUUUAAUAAAGAUAUUAGAUUGUUA